GACGAACGCUGGCGGCGUGCCUAAUACAUGCAAGUCGAACGCAUUUUCUUUCACCGUAGCUUGCUACACCGAAAGAAAAUGAGUGGCGAACGGGUGAGUAACACGUGGGUAACCUGCCCAUCAGCGGGGGAUAACACUUGGAAACAGGUGCUAAUACCGCAUAAUUCCAUUUACUGCAUGGUAGAUGGAUGAAAGGCGCUUUUGCGUCACUGAUGGAUGGACCCGCGGUGCAUUAGCUAGUUGGUGGGGUAACGGCCUACCAAGGCUGCGAUGCAUAGCCGACCUGGGAGGGUGAUCGGCCAAACUGGGACUGGGACACGGCCCAGACUCCUACGGGAGGCAGCAGGAGGGAAUCUUCGGCAAUAGACGCAAGUCUGACCGAGCAACGCCGCGUGAGUGAAGAAGGUUUUCGGAUCGUAAAACUCUGUUGUUAGAAAAGAACAAGGAUGAGAGUGGAAAGUUCAUCCCUUGACGGUAUCUAACCAGAAAGCCACGGCUAACUACGUG
rnacentral:rRNA from 1 species